rnacentral:rRNA from 1 species
UACAGAGGUCCCAAGCGUUGUUCGGAUUCACUGGGCGUAAAGGGUGCGUAGGCGGUCGGGUAAGUCUGAUGUGAAAUCUCACAGCUUAACCGUGAAACUGCAUUGGAUACUAUCCGGCUCGAGGAAUGGAGGGAGACUGGAAUACUUGGUGUAGCAGUGAAAUGCGUAGAUAUCAAGUGGAACACCAGUGGCGAAGGCGAGUCUCUGGACAUUUCCUGACGCUGAGGCACGAAAGCCAGGGAGCAAACGGG